AAUUCUUCUUCCCUCGCCGUCCCGAGCCCCUUCCCUCGCCUCCCCCCCCCCACGGCGCAGCAGCGAGCUACGGAGGACGGUGACAGACAGCUCCAACGAAAGGGCAUGUGUGUGGUCUCCUCAGCAUGAAGCAGCUCAGACCAGACGCCACCCUCGGGGAGGUGCCGCACUUCCCGCAGGACUUGCAGCCGGACCAGUCGACGUACAAGGGACGCUUCCUUCGCUUUCUCUCCAUGACUGACCCUCGCACCCUCCUCACGUCGCCGACGCGGCUAGCGCUGAGCGAAGCGCUCCUCGAGCGUGUCGACCGCCGUGAGGAGGGCUGGGCCACAGUAAAGGUGGCCGACUACCUUGACGCGCGGCAGCGAGUGCAAUGCAUCGUCCACCCCGAGUCGGGGAAGCCCAUCCUCAUGCCGUUCCGGUUCUCCGCGUUUGUGCCGAUGAACUUCAUCAACCUGUGUGGUAUGCUGGCGCCAUCGCAGCAGACCCCCGCACGGGCCAUGUUCUGGCAGUUCUCGAACCAGACGUACAACGUCGGCUUUAACUACUGCAACGGCAGCGGCAAGGACGGGCUGCCGCUGCAUGAGCUCGCAAUAAGCUACGUCGUGGCCACAUGCACCGCGUGUGGCACCUCGUACCAGCUCAGUAAGGUCGCCUCCGCCCUCUCGGCGUCGACGUCGUCGGCGGCACUGCUCCUGCAGCUGAUGAUUCCCUACACCGCCGUGGCAUGUGCGAACAUCGCGAACCUUGGGGUCAUUCGGUUCCGCGAUGUGCUGCGCGGCAUUGCCGUGCAAGAUCCGGAGACGGGUAAGGACCUGAACGACGGCAAGCCGUCCGCCGUGGCCGGCCGCCUUGCUGUGGCGCAGGUAGCGCUCAGCCGCGUCAUGAUCCCUGUGCCGCUGAUGCUGCUGCCACCAGUUUUCAUGAACGUUCUCUUCCACCCGACAAAGGGCGUCCGCUUCUUCGUGCAGCGCCGCGCGCAGCUCUUCCUACCAGUGAACGUGCUGACGCUGGUCAGCGUGCUGUGCGUCGCACUGCCGAUGAGCAUCGCCGUGUUCCCGCAGAAGACGGUGGUGCCGGUGAGCUGGCUGGAGGCGUCCUUCCAGGGGCAGACGAACGCCGCUGGCCACGCCAUCACGCAUGUCGAGUUCAACAAGGGCCUUUAGCGCCGCUCCGCCCGUUGUCGGGUUUGGGGCAAGGAGAGGCGAGAGAUGGAGUGGGCACACACGUCAGGAACCGCGAGUAGCACGCGUUGGUGCCGGGAGAGGCAUGCGCCGCGGUCACGCCGUCCUCUCGGUGCUUAGCUUCUGUGUGCGUGUGUGUGUGUGUGUGUACGUGUAUGGGUAUGUGGUUCAUUGCGGCCGCCGCUACUGGCGCAGAUUGAAUACGAAACUCUACUUCAACGCCUCCCUUCAUCUCCACGUUUCGCUCCGUCGAGUCCGCUUGCAAGCGCGCUCCCACUGGCUCUACCGCCGUCGCCCCUCCCCCAUCCGAAUCCCUGCGUCCACUCGUGUGCAUGUAUGCGUGCGCUUCAGAGCCUGCGUGCGAUGUUGCGCGUGGUUUUCCUUGCAUCCCUCCCGGCAGCAGCAUCGGCGACGACAACUACGGAGUAAGCCAGCAAGCACUGCUUGGUGUAUCCGCGCCUAGCCCGCUGACGCGUAUCGGGCCACUGCAGCAGACAAGGCGUGUGUCCGCCGCGGUGGGGCGGCGGACUGUCCGUGACGCGCUCCGUGACCUCACCGCAUCUCUGGCACACCUCUUCCUUCACUUGCCUGCGCGCUCGCGUACGCAACUCAGACUUGUGCACGGCAUGCAUGCGCGCAACACCGCCACGACAGCAGCAC
rnacentral:misc_RNA from 1 species